rnacentral:rRNA from 1 species
AACGAACGCUGGCGGCAGGCCUAACACAUGCAAGUCGAACGCCCUGGCAACAGGGAGUGGCAGACGGGUGAGUAACGCGUGGGAAUCUACCUUGUGGUACGGAACAACCAAGGGAAACUUUGGCUAAUACCGUAUGAGCCCUUCGGGGGGAAAGAUUUAUCGCCAUAAGAUGAGCCCGCGUAGGAUUAGCUAGUUGGUGA